GUAGCUAACGCGUUAAGCACUCCGCCUGGGGACUACGGUCGCAAGACUAAAACUCAAAGGAAUUGACGGGGACCCGCACAAGCGGUGGAGCAUGUGGUUUAAUUCGAUGCAACGCGAAAAACCUUACCACUUCUUGACAUGGAGGCUAGAUCCUUCUUAACAGAAGGGCGCAGUUCGGCUGGGCCUCGCACAGGUGCUGCAUGGCUGUCGUCAGCUCGUGUCGUGAGAUGUUGGGUUAAGUCCCGCAACGAGCGCAACCCUCAUCCUUAGUUACCAGCGGGUAAUGCCGGGCACUUUAAGGAAACUGCCAGUGAUAAACUGGAGGAAGGUGGGGAUGAUGUCAAGUCAGCACGGCCCUUAUGGGGUGGGCUACACACGUGCUACAAUGGCGACUACAAUAGGUUGCA
rnacentral:rRNA from 1 species